AUCCCCUUCGGGGGUGACGCUUGUGGAAUGAGCGGCGGACGGGUGAGUAACACGUGGGCAACCUGCCUGUAAGACUGGGAUAACCCCGGGAAACCGGGGCUAAUACCGGAUAAUACUUUCUUUUGCAUAAAGGAAAGUUGAAAGGCGGCUUCGGCUGUCACUUACAGAUGGGCCCGCGGCGCAUUAGCUAGUUGGUGAGGUAACGGCUCACCAAGGCGACGAUGCGUAGCCGACCUGAGAGGGUGAUCGGCCACACUGGGACUGAGACACGGCCCAGACUCCUACGGGAGGCAGCAGUAGGGAAUCUUCCGCAAUGGACGAAAGUCUGACGGAGCAACGCCGCGUGAGUGAUGAAGGUUUUCGGAUCGUAAAACUCUGUUGUUAGGGAAGAACAAGUUGGGUAGUAACUGACCCAACCUUGACGGUACCUAACCAGAAAGCCACGGCUAACUACGUGCCAGCAGCCGCGGUAAUACGUAGGUGGCAAGCGUUGUCCGGAAUUAUUGGGCGUAAAGCGCUCGCA
rnacentral:rRNA from 1 species